AUCAGAGUGCUCAAUACAGGCGCUUGCUUGAAUAGCUCAUCAUGGAAUAAUGAAACAGGACUUCGGUUCUUUUUGUUGGUUCUAGAAUUGAUCUAAUGGUUAAGAGGGACAAACCGGGGGCAUUCGUAUCAUUACGCGAGAGGUGAAAUUCGUGGACCGUAGUGAGACGCCCAAUAGCGAAAGCAUUUGCCAAGAAUGUCUUCAUUAAUCAAGAACGAAAGUCAGAGGUUCGAAGGCGAUUAGAUACCGCCCUAGUUCUGACCGUAAACGAUGCCAUCUCGCGAUUCGGAGGGUUCAUGCCCUACCGAGGAGCUACCCGGAAACGAAAGUCUUUCGGUUCCGGGGGUAGUAUGGUUGCAAAGCUGAAACUUAAAGAAAUUGACGGAAGGGCACCACAAGGCGUGGAGCUUGCGGCUUAAUUUGACUCAACACGGGAAAACUCACCCGGUCCGGACACUAUUAGGACUGACAGAUUGAAAGCUCUUUCUCGAUUUGGUGGUUGGUGGUGCAUGGCCGUUUUUAGUUGGUGGAGUGAUUUGUCUGGUUUAUUCCGAUAACGAGCGAGACUCUAGCCUGCUAAAUAGUCGACGAAUCUUCGGGUUCGUAUAACUUCUUAGAGGGAUAAGCGGUGUUUAGCCGCACGAGAUUGAGCGAUAACAGGUCUGUGAUGCCCUUAGAUGUCCGGGGCUGCACGCGUGCUACACUGGUGGAGUCAGCGGGUUUUUCCUAUGCCGAAAGGUAUCGGUAAACCGUUGAACUUCUUCCAUGUCCGGGAUAGGGUAUUGUAAUUAUUACCCUUAAACGAGGAAUGCCUAGUAAGUGUGAGUCAUCAGCUCACGUUGAUUACGUCCCUGCCCUUUGUACACACCGCCCGUCGCUAUCCGGGACUGAACUGAUUCGAGAAGAGUGGGGACUGUGGCUGCGAGGUUUUACCACUUCGCAGUUGCGGAAACCAUUUUUAUCGCAUUGGUUUGAACCGGGUAAAAGUCGUAACAAGGUAGCUGUAGGUGAACCUGCAGCUG
rnacentral:rRNA from 1 species